GGCAGCGCCCGGCACGGGCAGUGCGGGCCGGAUCCGGCCGGCGCUCCCCAGCGGCACGGCCGCCCUCAGCCCGGUGAGCUGCUCCCUGCCCCGGCUCUUCGGGGCGAAACACGGCCUGGAGCAAAAUGACAUGGGGAAAAGCCGGGCUGCAGCCGCUGCUCUCCCCUCACGGAGCCUCACCCUCCUGCCGCGGGAUGGGCAGGGGCCCAGCCCAGCCCUCAAAGCUGCUACGCGGGCAGUGAGGCGGAGGAAGCUUCUCAUCUGCCCGGCCUGCCUCAAGCAUGGUGUGAUUCCCCCAGGUGUGGGAGCAGCAGCAGCUGUGGGAAGCUCGAGGCCGUCGCCCAGGGAGCUGCGUGCGCACAUGGUGGCAUGAGGGCUGUGCAUCGGCGAGGAUGCGUCUUGUAAAUUCAGGUGUUUCUUUCUGAGAAAAAUGAAUAAACGGCACUGAAUGGAUACCGUAAGAACGCGAAACGUGAUGUGUGUUCAGUCUUUUUGAUUUGAAGGUCAGUCCCAGAGAAGCUCAGAGAUUCUUGUGAGGAGCGGAGCUGAACAGGCUGUGCAGUGCACGGAUUUCUUCCUACAUUCUUGAUUCUACAUAGAGGUCAUUGAUGUUGGGACCUUUUAACUGAAGUCAACAUAUAGGGCUGAAGUGUUAUAUCAGGCAUUGUAAUAACUGUAAUAUUGAAAGGGGAAAACCUUGGGGAAAGCAUGGCUGAGUAAUAGGUGAAAAAAGGAAGAUUGGAUAGCACAACUGACACAUCCAAAACAUACGUUGUUUUAAAAGUCCAAAAUUUAAAAAGCACUACAAUAGAUAGAAGAGGAAGGGAGCCUUGCUGGGAACAAGACUUCAUGUUUGAAAUCCAUGCUGAUGGAAAGGGCUUCAUUAUAGAGCUGUGGAAGAAAGGCUUGCUCUGGGAUAGCAUUUUAGGAGUUUUAUGGAUUCCCCUUGCCACUGUGGAGUAUGCAACAGAUGCCCAGGUUCCUGGUGGAGAUUACAUUCAGAAGUAAUAAAAAAUGGAAGUGAGAUUCAAGGCACAAAAACACCAACUUCUCAUGA